GACGAACGCUGGCGGCGUGCUUAACACAUGCCAGUCGAACGGAAAGGCCCUGCUUUUGUGGGGUGCUCGAGUGGCGAACGGGUGAGUAACACGUGAGUAACCUGCCCUUGACUUUGGGAUAACUUCAGGAAACUGGGGCUAAUACCGGAUAGGAGCUCCUGCUGCAUGGUGGGGGUUGGAAAGUUUCGGCGGUUGGGGAUGGACUCGCGGCUUAUCAGCUUGUUGGUGGGGUAGUGGCUUACCAAGGCGUUGACGGGUAGCCGGCCUGAGAGGGGGACCGGCCACAUUGGGACUGAGAUACGGCCCAGACUCCUACGGGAGGCAGCAGUGGGGAAUAUUGCACAAUGGGCGGAAGCCUGAUGCAGCAACGCCGCGUGCGGGAUGACGGCCUUCGGGUUGUAAACCGCUUUCGCCUGUGACGAAGCGUGAGUGACGGUAAUGGGUAAAGAAGCACCGGCUAACUACGUG
rnacentral:rRNA from 1 species